GUCCCAUUUGUAAAUUUACCAAGCUUUUGUCUUGAAAAAGGUUUGGGGUUUUUGCCCCCAUACUCCUGUUGGGAAGCUGUUGCAGCACUUAAUUGGAAACUUUUUUAAUCUCUGCGAUGAAUUUUCAUGGCAAUUUUCUCAGAUGGUUUCAUGCUGGCAAAAUGAUACUUCAAGUAUCUUUCCUUUCAGUGUUUCUCUUACCCUCCUUUAUCUAACCCAGUAUAACUGGAGAGAAAUAAUACACAUUUUCAUAGAUUUUCAUUAAACAGCCUGAAUAAUGUAAUGAAAUGACGGUAACAAGAUAAAUUAAAUAAGGUUAUAAACUAAGAUAAAUCCUUUAUAGAGGUGGGUUUCAUAGCUUCAUCUCCCUUGUAGUAUAUGGUUUUGCUGCAACAGAUGUAUAUGCUAGGUUUUUUACCUAAUUAUCUUUUCUAAACUAUGAACUAUCAUAUGGUAAAAGAAAAUUCCUGUUAUUAAUUCCAAGUCCACAACCAUGAACUUUGUACACUCUAACCUCAUCUCCUUUCAGUAACUGAAGUUCAAUGACCUCAAUGAUAUUCCAGGCCUUUUCUAGUUUGACACUGUCUCCAGACUUCGUCAUCAGAAAAUGUCAUAAGCACACACUUACACUGUACCAAAAUUAGCCAUGAUACUAUCUGCUAUUUUUAGUCUCCAAGCUAAUCCAAGAAAAUUCUGUUGGUAACUUUCCUCUGAACAUGCACUUUCCCUUUCAAUGCAAGAGAUUGAAUCUUUGUGAAAAUAGAGUCAGUCAAACAUUGAAGAAUUUGUGGUUUUCUCUAUAAUUUUGAUAUGAUUUCAGUUAAUUUCCUUCCUCUAAAUUAUUAUUUUCUCUCACAGUAAAGCCUUUCUCCCACUGUGGGCUAAUUUUUGAUGGGCUAAUGUAUAAAUGGUUUAAUAAGGUAAACUGGAAAAAAAGGAAUUGUUUUUAUCUGGUAGAAGGGCAAGAUCUCUCAUAGUCUGUGUGUCAUAAAGUGAUUUUUUAUCCUUCACUGUUUCAAAUUUCCAUUUACGUGGAUAUGUUAAUUGUUUUUUCCCAUGCUGUGUGUUUUUAAACCCUUCAUAAUAUUAAAGUUGUCUUAUUAGGGUUGUAGUUUAUUUAGUUCCUCUCCUCUUCCAUACUACAUUUGCUAAUCUUUAGUAAUAUGAUGCAAUAAUUGCCUCAUUCACUUAGCUGCUAUUCAGGUCAGCAUUUCAGGCAAAGAAACAGAUUCAUAAAAAUUUUUGUCAUUACAAAAAUAAGCUUUGUAAGGAGUAAUAUGCCAUUAGGAGCAGAGCUGGGGUGCCUGAAGCAACUAUACAGAGCUCACUUGGCUGUGUGCCUAGUGGUCAGCAAAUUCACAGGGGUUGUAUCUAAACUGGGGAGUAGAAGGAGGAGCCUUGCCGUAACUGUAUCUCACUUAAUUGCUGAAAUGCCUGGUUUUCCUAGUCUUUGUUACUAGAAGUCACUGUGAUUUACUCUAACAAUUACUAGUUUGGUCUGAGUCAUUCUUCAUUAUCAUAUGCUAUGCUCUUAAAAAGUAAUACUUUUUUCCAUUGUUUAUAUUACCUUAACCUUCUCAAAAACAUUUCGUAAUUAACAUGUGAUAUUUUUUCCUGUAUCUACACCAAAACAGGAAAGAUGUGCAAUGUUCUGACUGACCAGCAUUCUGGAGAAUCUUGUCACAAUUUCCAAAGAGCAUGAGUGAAAAUGAAGCUUAGGGUAUUCUCAUCAGCUGUAGUACAUAUGGUACAAAUCUUACUCCAUAGCAGAUAUUUAAAAUUAAAUUCUGCUGUGUUGACAGACCACUGCAGAGCUCAGACAUCUGAAACUGCCUAUUUUAAUGUGAACAGUAAAACUUUUCAUUUAGAUUCUUACAACAUAUAUCUCAAACUAAUAUAAACAUGCUAUUCUAGGAUGAAACAAUGAUUUCAUUGUUUGCCUUAUGCUGUAGAAAGGAAUGAAAAAGGGAGAGCUGCAAAAUUUUCAAGAAUGAAUCUGAACUUCUGCUCCUUGCAUAGAGAACUGGAUUUUUCUUUGUGAUACCCACUGUAAAUGAUGCCACUUAGCAUUCCCAGUGAUGACUCCAAAGAAGUCUGAUUUGUGCUUAGUAAAGAAAGCAUGUCAAGUUAGAAUUUCUAAAAAUCAUGUGUUUAAAUUUUGACCAUUAUCUGGUAAUAUGGAAGGCCUUAAUAUUUUCUACUAGGUUCUGACUCUCGUAUAUUUGCCUUACUUUGUCUUACCCUGUUAACAUGAUUGGUACAAACCUUAGCCACAUAUGGGGAGCUGUCUUUCCAGAGCCAUAAGAAUAAGCCAGAGAAUAUGAAAAGGAAGCUCUCCUGGUCUCAUGCCUUCCUUUCUCAUAUUCAAGGAGAUGCAGAAGCUUAUUUUACAUCUUUGAACACCAUGUCUCCUGAUGAUUGGUUACUUUGGUUAAUGUCCUGAAAUGUAAAUAGGAGGUCAGUGUGUACCAUGUCUGCUAUUUCAGGGACAUAGCUAUUAAGAUGGAAGAAGGCCUCUGCUUUGCUAGGCACCAGUCAGAUGGAUCAAAAGGGCCUGAAGCCUGUGGAUUUCCUCAUUGCCAAAGAAUGCACUUUGCUUCAAAGUUUCAUUUUCAAUCACAGUGAAUCAAGGGCUUCAAAUAUGAAGUGAGAGAUUACAGAUUCUGAAUAGAGGACUGGCUUGUAUAGAUGGAUCACGCGAGUUACUAUAAAUGUUAGGUCUACAAAAGAGCCUUUCAAGCCAGUGGCCUGAAAAUUAUAGUCUUAGAUGGAAAGGGUGAGCCUGAAGUGGGGAGUAAAGGACAUUAUCCCAGUCUGCCAAACUGUAUAGACUCUAAGGAGCAUAGACUGUGGGAGGAGGGUGUGGGUUACAGUGUAUGGAGACCGUGGAUCUCAUGUUUUACUUCAGUCAGAAGAUACAUCACUGUAUCAUCUUGCUACAAGAUGCUUGCUCUUUUUGUUCUUUGAGCUGGGAAGCUUAUGUGGUGUGAGGCCAUGAAAAACCACCUGCUGGAACCCAGUGAUAUUUUUCAGAAUAAAUAACCUGAAAAGCUUGCAUUGUUUAAAGUGCAGGGGAAAGUCUGUGAGAAGUUUGUGUUCUACAUGUCGAACAAAUUAUUCUUCUUUAGGAAAGAUUUUUCAGCCAACCCUGUGGUUUGAGCCCUCUCAUGACACAGUGUAAAAAGAAAUGACUGGUUAUAUAGUUUGGUUUAAUGCAAAGUUCAGGUUCUACAGUUCCCUGAUAUACACAGACACAGUUGUUUAAAGACAGGUUUGUAAGUUGCUUAUCCGUGCUUUUUCCUUUCUUCUCUUCUGUUUUUGACGGGUUAACCCAUACCUCCUUAGUAAUAACUCUGGGAAAUGUCCCAAGAAAGCUAAAAACUUCUCUGAAAAGUAUGUGUUUUCUGAGCUAAAAAAGAUACAUUAAACUGUACUUCUAUGUUUUCAAAUUAUACAGGAAGAUUAUGAAAGUCAUACUCAUAUUUUAGAUCUCAAUAAAAUUUUACAGACUGCUGUGUAAAUAUACACAGAGUAGUUCUUAAGUGGUUUCCUGUAAUAGUUACUCUGGGCUUUCAUCUGGUGUAAUUUUCACUGAGUGCCAUAAUGACAGGUUCCACAAAGGCCCCCUCAUUCAUUUUUAGCUCUACCAAUUCAAAACAGAAAAAAAAACCCAAACCAACAGGACUGAACAUCCACUAUGUAGACCAGGCUCAGAAACAAGAACUUCUUCUGGUCAAUCCUGUCUCCCCACAGUGGGGACUGGUCGUUCUAACUCUAUUGCAAAGCUGUAUGUAUAGACAAAUAUUUAUAAUGCAAUGGAAUGGAGAUGGUUACUGGCACAUUAGGUAAGGUGAAUGUUGAGUAGCAGCAAGAAAUUAAUUAAUUUUAUGGGGCAGGUCAGUUUGACCAGAUCAAAGGGACUGAGCAGAAAGGCUAAGGAUCAAAUGGAGCCUCCCCCACAGCAGGUAGCCAGCUUUGAAAUCAUGUUCUGGAUGAAGUCAAGUAAGAACUUUACCAAGCUAAGCAAUUACUAUCAAUGUGAGUUAAAACUAAGUCUAACAAGUUUGCUGGGAAGAUACUAUUCUUAAAUAAAAGAAUUUUAAUAAAGCAGUAAAGAUGCUCUAGAGGAUAAAAACUUAUUAAGCAAAAUUAGAAUGAUUCAGUUAGAAAUCUAAGGCUUGUCUCUGUCAGAGCUGUAUUUUUGGUUAAUUGGAGGAGAUUGAAAUCAUAAACAGUAAUGUAAACAAGAAAUGUGUAUUUCCCAUCAUGAUCCUUCCCCUGAUCAUUGCAAGUUACCUUUCUGCAACAAAAUUCUUCAAACCUUCCCCCCCACUAACUCAAAAGUUUGUUGAAAUAUGCAUAAAAUAAUUCUGUGGCAAUGCUCUGCCUUUUUCUAGUAAGAUCAUCCUCUACACUCUGCUGACCAGUUCCUACAGAGAAAGAUUUUAAAGCUGCCUUAUUUCAGGGAGUAAUUAUUCAGACUAACAAGAUGGGAGGCUUUGUAUAAAGGAAAAUUUGGAUAUGAAUACAGAUACGACAGAGGAUUUCUUCCCUCAACUCAAAAUUUAAGCCUGGAACCAUUAGCUGGUGUUGAUGAAUGAAAUGUUUGGAUUCUGGAUGAAAUCCCACCUGGUCUACUUGUUGAAGAGUUUGUCCAAGAUAUUUCAGUCUUUUUCAGACAGUAACAAUAAUCCCAGGUCUUUUUCCACAGUGUCCCUUGACAUCUCAUUUAGCUCUACAGUUACAGAAUACUAGUGACUCAAAAGAUUACUCCAAUGAGUUUUUGAAAUUGAAAAAGUUUGAAAGGUCUCUGUUUCUAAAAACUUUAUAAAACUAUUUCUCAAUUUUUUUACAUUGUCUAUAGUCACAAGAGAGAAUUUUUAAGGAGUCAGAGAGGAGUCAAGGUCACCAGACAAAUGGGUCUAACAAAAACUGACUGUGCCCACAGAAAAGAACAGCUAAACUGUUCUUUUUCAUCUCUUUUUUGUUGUUUUUCUUCUAUUUCAGUUUUGCAGGUCAGCAUAGCAAAUAGUAUUGUUCUUGGGCAUCAAAAGGAAUAAAAGGAAAUAAAUUAUUACUGUAGCAUUUAGAGACUGAUCCUGUUAGCUACUGGGCUGAAAGCCUCUUUGAAAGGGCUAAAACCUUCAUCUCCUUUUGAUACGAUUAAGUGCACUAAUCAUCUGUUCAACUUGAGUCAGUGUGAGAUCCAAGUACGAGCACUUCACAAGCUGUUCCAUGUCGCUCUGACCAAAGCUACAGUAAAGUCAGGCUGACACCAGCACCUGCCCAAGGUGAGAAACUUCUCCUUGGGAACUAAGUCAGCUCUAGUUAACAAACCAGCCAACCAACUGCUGUUGCUGCCACCUUUAACCAGAAGAGGGGACACAGGAAGUGACCAGCUCUAGGGUCGAGGUAUCAGCAAGACAAAGUGCAGCAGCUCUGCUCUAAACUCUGCUUGUUUUUUUAUCCCACUGGGGAUUGAACCAAUUAUUCUGGGAAAACAUGAAUUCUAAAUUCCUUAGAGAUGACUCAAAGUAUUUCAGUUAAAGUUGCUUCAGAGUUGCACAUCUGACAAAUCAAUAUUUUUAGCUUUUAGGAAAAUGUCUGUAGUUUAAUUAAUAUUUUAGAUUAGAGAGGGGUUUUCCCUGCUCUUGAGUUGCUAUAUUUAAGCUACUUUUAAACUGAAUUAGAAAUGUGUUUUGAAUCUCUGGUAACUUUGGUUCUUGGGCAUUCUCCACCAAAACACAUUUUAUAAUUCUGUACUAGUAAAUACCAGUAUGGUAGAAUAACUUUAUCAAAUGUAAAUGACAUAGUGAUAUUUUUGGCUAUAUAAGAAGUCUUUGGUUUCAAGGCAUUUUCCUCAAAUUAAGCACCUACAGAAAAAGAAUGAUCAUUCAUAUGUCACAGAAGGAGAAACCGAAACACAGAAUGACAAGCCAAAACACAUUAGCCAUGUAGUAAUCUUGCAGACCUUUUUAAAGCAUUCAUUUUUCAAGAACGUUCGGCAUCUACAUGGUUUCAGUAGUUCUGCAUAGUCCUUCAAAACUUACAUCAACGGGUCUGAUACUGAACAACAAAGAGUGGAAGUAUAAGGUAUAAAUUGCUUUUUUCCCUCCCAGUACACAUUUUAUGACCCUAGUCCUGUUUUCUAGCAAGCAGACCAUUCUUUCCUGGAAACCUUCAAUGUUUCACUUUUUUAGUAGUGAUUUCAUUUCAGCUGCAUUUCAAAGUUAAUGGUUCUGCAGCAAGUCACCAAUCCAUCUUACAGUAUCCACCAGUACAACACUUUUAACACUUUCCUACAGAAUGUUUUUCCCAUCUUUCCAAGUUGUUGUGGGCAACAUUCCACUUAAAAAUUAUCUUGGAACUCACUAACUCCAUUUAGGUAAAAAACCCAACUUUAAAUUACAUGUAUUCUUUUCAAAACUGCUAAAGCCAACUAAAGCAGCAUUUCUGAAAAUUUCUUUAGAAUAAAUAACUCUUGGGAUAAUAUCAGUUAGAUUCUCAAAAUAUGUCAUGGUUGCAUGGACAAUCAGAUAGUGAUUAGAGCUCCUAUAGCUCUUUCCAACAGAUGUGUGUUCAUGUAACACAGGCCUCUAGUCAGCAGUCCAAAGGUCUUUUCAAGAUGAGAUAUAUAUUUUUCAUCCUAAACAUGUUAUUCUUAGAAGGUGGAUUUGAAUGUUGAGAGCAGUAAAUUAUUGAAAAGCACUCUAAUAGUUCACUUUCCAUUUGCAACAAAUCAAAUGACUGAAGAAAAAAUUGUACUACAAACACUUCAGAGAAAGGGUCUUCCUAAUUGAAGAAAAUUUGUUUGAAUUCUAGUGACAAAAACUAGAAUUAAGUUAAAUGAUGUAUGAAGUGAAUAGCAAACAAAGUGGUAGAAUACUUGUAGCUGAUGAGAAAGCAAUUCAAUAAUAGAGAGACAUUAGAAAUUACUUUGCAAAUAUUUAUAUACAAUACAUUUACUUAAAUUGAAAACCAUCUACUCUUGGAAGGAACUUCCUUUUCAACAGCAGUGAUUUGGCAAAAACAGCCCUGGGGGCAUUAUGUCCUGACAUUGUUGACAGGCAUGAAAAGUCUUCUGUAUGUUUCCAUUCCUAAGAAAACAAACUGAUAGCUCACAUUCACUUUCAUUCUCAGCUUGUGUUUCCUACUAGGAUCAUAGCUAACAUGUGCUUCUUUGGCUUUAGGAUAAAAAGUGUUGCAUAUAACUUCUUCAUCUUUUACUCAUCUGACAGGAACUGUAACUGCUCAUUCUUCUCCUUGUUGUCUUCCUUAAGCAACUUCUCAUCUUCCUGCCUGAUGACCUUCUGUUCCACUCCUACUUCAGAGAUCCCACCACAGGUGGUUUACAGCUUGUUUACAUAUUUGCCACAAGUCUUUUCCCCCAACCUAAUUUCAUGUGCAGAGAUGUGGAAAAAGAAAGGAAAAAAAGUAGUUUUCUUCAAAUGUUGAACAAAGGCUUUAAUAGGAAUAGAGAGAGAAAACACCUUCAAAGUUAUACUGUCUUUAGUUCUGCUUCACUAGAGGUCCCUUUGUCUGGAGUCUAUCAGUUUUACUCCUGUUUAAAUAAACAAUACACCUGUCCUUUCUUGCAUCUUCCAAUGACAGGGUGACUAUACAGUAGCCAAAUUCAAAAUAGACCAAUUCAUAUGGAAAAAAGACAUCUGUCAUACAGACAAAUAUUUUUGAAGUUUGAGCACUGGAAGUAGGAUUUUUUGGGUGUUAAUUACCUAAAUACACAGAGGAGCACACAGCAAAGUAUUCAGGUUUCUAAGUGUGUGUCUAGUUCCCAGUCCAAUUCAAUAGCACUUGCAAAAGUGUCAGCAGUGACAUAGGGCUACCUGAAAUCCCUGUGUACCUUCAGAGCACAUGGAUAGUCAUUCAUCUUCAGAAAUGUAGUACUUAGCUCUAUUGUAAAGUUAAUUCUUUAUGUUGUUAAUGACAAAGAACAAAAUAAAAUAAACCCCAAGAAUAUCAGCCAACAGAAAGCCUGAAUUAUUUCUUAUUCAGUGAAUGACCUCUAGUGGUCAUUCAUCACAGCUUUCACAGCAGUUGACAUGCCAGCUCGGAACAUAAUGUGCAUUUUUUGUGAAAUAUAGAACAUGAGAAUCAAUUUUUCUUUUUUUUUUUUUUUUUUUUUCAAAACUGUGUGUUGUGAAAUUUUUCUCUACCUCUGGCACUGUUAAAAUCAUAUUUUUUUUCACUUUAUACAGUGAGCCCUGGGUACUCUGGAGGAGUUUUAAGCCAGAGCUCUAGCACCUGCAUUGCCCCUUGCUGUUUUCUCUUUGCUAGCCAGUGCCUCCCUCAAUCUUUGAAACCUCCCUCAGCCUCUUUGAAAUUUGUCAGAGACACCCUUCUGUCAUCCAACACAGCCUUGAGUGUAUUCUGUUACCUUGAUUACCUCUGUUCAGCUUCUCAUAACAACAUUGAUUUGCCUGAAAAGGGCCACCAACCAUCAUCUCUCACUGCUGGCCAAAGUAGACCACUUCAUUCUGAACAUGGAGGGAGCUUAUCUGUCUAAAAAGCAAACUCAGCAGAUGUAAUAUUUGCAAUAUAAUUGGGAAGAGAGCUCUAAUCCUCAGUAUUGUGGGACAUGAAAAGAAGUCUGAGUUAAACAUUCAGCAAUAUGUCAGAAAACAAAUGGUAUUCUCAUCUCACAGGGGUUUUAUCAGCAUUUCUGCUGAUCUUUCUGUGGCUUCUUUAAACAGUUGGGCCAGAUUGUUCUGCUGGACAUGCAUAUCAGUCCAGAUAUUCAAGAAUUUAUUAAAAGCUUUUGCUAAAGAUGGAAAAUAGGUUCUGAGAAAUAUCUCCUCUAUUCCUACCUUUCUCAACUAUGGGUGUUAUACAAGAAUUCUUAUAUUUUAUUUUGUAUGUAAAUGAGCAUAUCAUAUCUGCAACCCAAGCUGCAUCGCAGGUGAAGUAUCCACAUGAUAAUUUUGUUAAUCUCGGGUAGCUUUUGGUAGUCAUCUUUUCCACUACACAAACCUGGUAACAGAGGAGGAACAGCACCUUCAAGAGGAGACCAGUGAUCAAGGAAUUUAUGGUUAAAAGUUUUUUGAGAUUGCUUCACAGCCCUACUUCCAGUACUGAGAGAUCCUUGAGAGGAACUUUAACAAAACGUUUUAUCUGUUUAAAAGGCAUUCUGAAAUUCUUGCUUACCAGAAUAGUGUCAAAAGAAGAAUGAUUUAUGUGAGAAAUAAAGUUUGCUGACAGAA